GUUGUAGCUCAGUGGUAGAGCGCUUGCCUAGCAUGUGUGAAGCACUGGGUUCAAUCCUCAGCACAACA
rnacentral:tRNA from 1 species